rnacentral:miRNA from 1 species
AGGUAUUGGUUUGGCCAAAAAGUUUGUUCAGGUUUUUACAUAUGGUGUGACAGAAAAAAUCAAACGUACUUUUUGGCCAACCA